UGUAAAGAGGAGCAACGGUAGCUCGUUAGGCUCAUGUUCUAAAGGUUAAAGGUUCAAAUCCUUUCUUUACAA
rnacentral:tRNA from 1 species